rnacentral:rRNA from 1 species
UGGACGUGAAAGCCCCGGGCCCAACCCGGGGACGCCGUUCAAUACUGCAGAGCUUGAGGGCAGCAGAGGGAGGUGGAAUUCUCGGUGUAGCGGUGAAAUGCGUAGAUAUCGAGAGGAACACCAGUGGCGAAGGCGGCCUCCUGGGCUGCUCCUGACGCUGAAGGCGAAAGCUAGGGGAGCGAACGGGAUUAGAAACCCCGGUAGUCCUAGCCGUAAACGAUGGAUGCUAGGUGAGGGGGGUGUAGACUCCCUCCGUGCCAAAGCUAACGCGUUAAGCAUCCCGCCUGGGGACUACGGCCGCAAGGCUAAAACUCAAACGAAUUGACGGGGGCCCGCACAAGCAGCGGAGCGUGUGGUUUAAUUCGAUGCUACACGAAGAACCUUACCUGGGCUUGACAUGCAGGUGGUAGUGAAGCGAAAGCGGAACGACCCUUCGGGGAGCCUGCACAGGUGCUGCAUGGCUGUCGUCAGCUCGUGCCGUGAGGUGUCGGGUUAAGUCCCGUAACGAGCGCAACCCCUGUCCUUAGUUAUAUGUGUCUAAGGAGACUGCCGGGGUAAGCCGGAGGAAGGUGGGGACGACGUCAAGUCAGCAUGGCCCUUAUGUCCAGGGCUACACACACGCUACAAUGGCCGGUACAAUGGGUUGCCAAACCGCGAGGUGGAGCGAAUCCUCCAAAGCCGGUCUCAGAUCGGAUUGCAGGCUGCACCCGCCUGCAUGAAGCUGGAGUUGCUAGUAAUCGCAGGUCAGCUAUACUGCGGUGAAUACGUUCCCGGGCCU